rnacentral:rRNA from 1 species
GACGAACGCUGGCGGCGUGCUUAACACAUGCAAGUCGAACGGAAAGGCCCUUCGGGGUACUCGAGUGGCGAACGGGUGAGUAACACGUGGGUGAUCUGCCCUGCACUUUGGGAUAAGCCUGGGAAACUGGGUCUAAUACCGAAUAGGACCACGCGCUUCAUGGUGUGUGGUGGAAAGCUUUUGCGGUGUGGGAUGGGCCCGCGGCCCAUCAGCUUGUUGGUGGGGUAAUGGCCUACCAAGGCGACGACGGGUAGCCGGCCUGAGAGGGUGACCGGCCACACUGGGACUGAGAUACGGCCCAGACUCCUACGGGAGGCAGCAGUGGGGAAUAUUGCACAAUGGGCGCAAGCCUGAUGCAGCGACGCCGCGUGAGGGAUGACGGCCUUCGGGUUGUAAACCUCUUUCACCAGGGACGAAGCGUAAGUGACGGUACCUGGAGAAGAAGCACCGGCCAACUACGUG